UUAACACAAUGUUAUAUUUCAAUUAUAGCUCAAAUAAUAAAACAUAAAAACUAAAAUAAAAUAAAAUGCAGAGUGGACUCUCCCUUCGCCAGCCUCCACGGACUGGCCUCCCCAAUCCUCUCUCUGACUCUUUCAGACUAGAUUCUAGAACUGGUAGCUACCUAGAAUUCUCUAGAUAGUAGACUGUUGAGUUCUCAUGAGUCUGUCAGCCAAGAUGGAGUGACCACUGUGACCCAUGUUCCUUUCAUAAACAUCACAGCCACCAUCGGACGGCAUGAGGGGGAUUAUGUAAGGUGAAAACACCAACCCUCGGGAAGCUGAACUCAAUUUGUUUUAGACUUCCUCAUGAUCUUCCUCAGACCUCAGCACAGUGCUCGGGCAUUUAUUGUUUGUCUUCUGUGGGUCAGGCUCUGAGACAGAGUCUGGAUAUCGCCAAGUGAGGAUGACAUGGUCCCUUCCUGGCACCAGUCCACUGCUGGUGGGAAACAGAGACAGAAAAACACCUAUGAGAUUACACACCUGUGCUAUGAUAAAGACUCACAUAAAAUGCUCUUGAAGCUCAAGAGAAGAGGAUCAGCGCUCUGCCUGAGGAGGAAGGGGCAGGCUGAGCUAAGUGACAGAGAAGUGUCAAGCAGAGGGAAGGGUACCUGCUAAGAGGAGAAGACAUGAAAGGCCUGGGGGCAUGAAGAGCUGGGAUGGCAGGGACGUCAGGCUAAGGGCUGACAGUGUGUGUGGGGCAGAGGCGGAAAGGGCACAGAUACCAGGUACAAGAGCCUGGACAUGAUCUCAGAGGUCACAGGAAACCCAAAGAGGGCUCCAGGCAGGGCAGUAACAGGAUGGCGUUUGCACAAUUCCCUGGAGGUGGGAGGAGAGUACGUUUAGUUCACAUUCCGCCUUUGCUGAGGACCUUCUAAGGCCAUCCCAUAAACUUUAGAAAAGAUUCACACCCACUUUCACACUGCCUGGCUCUCCUACCUCACCUCCCACCAUUCUCCCCAAAGCUUGCCUAUUCCAGCCACACCGACUGCCUUCUCACUCCACAUGCAUGCCUUGUUCAGCCCCAGCCCAAGACAUUUGCAUGUGCUGCCCCACACCCUGGCAUGGCUCACUCCUAUCUUCAUUGAGGCCUAUGCACAAUAAAACAACAAGGAAGUUUCCCUGACAGCAGAUCCAAAACAGCAACCCUUAACAACUCAUUACUCAUCUCAGCUAUCAUUCCUGAAAUUAUAUUACCUGUUUAAGUAUUUACUAUCUACCACUCCCACUGGAAUAUAAUGUAUUGGUUUAUUUAUCAUAUUAAUGGCUAUAUUCCCAGGUAUAAAACACUGGUGAAUAAUAUAUCCACAAUAAAUAUCUAUUAAAUGAAUGAAGGAAGAUGAGACUAGAGUUAGGAAAUUACUGCAAAAGUCAAAAAUACCAAUGCUGGUUCCGUCUGAACUAAGAAAAUGUCAGUGUGACAAAAUACUUAGGUGGAAGAGUUGCUGUGGCGAGUUAAUAAAGGAAUUCAAGAUGACUUACACACUUCCCCCUUGCUUGACAGGAAGGAUGGCAGGGUCCCAUUCACCAAGUUGAGGCGCACACUGAAGGACUGAGAGGGUGGAACAGAAGUCCAGUUUGCGGUACGGAGAGUUGGAAGCUCCUGUGUGGCAUCCAUUUGGAGAGGUCUUGGAAAAGGAAGUCCAGAGCUGCUCAGGGGAGAGGUGAUGGGAUGGAGCUACAGAUGGCGAUGGAGGGGAGCCCACCGAAGUCGUAAGAACACUAACCCUAGAGGCACUGCCAGCGGUGAGCCAGAGAGCAGAGUGGGCUCUCUGCACAUCUGACUGCACAGCACCUUGACUAACAGGCCAUGCAAAGUGCAACUUCAGGACCCCUGAUGGGGUGACCAUCAGAUCUGGUUCAUGUCCGUUCUGGGGUCAGCUCUGGCGUAUAAAAGAACCACCGGGAAGUCUUCCGAGAAAUGCAGAUUCCCUAGUAGAUUCUGAUUUUUGAAUAUGUAAAAAGCAUCCUGGACGAUGCCGAGCAGACUUUGAGAACCACUGGUGUGAGCCAGCAAUGGAGAAGCAAGUGCCGAGAAGAUGGAAGAACAUCCUUUAUUCUAGGUCUGAUCUACUCAAUAACCUCAACCUACUUUCUGUAAUACUUAAAUUCAGGUAGGUAGAAAGGAUGGACUAAAAUUAAGAUGUCCAGGAAUAAACGCUCUAAAACUAGGCAUAAAUAGUGCAUCUGAUCUUGUUUUCUCUGGCUCAACUUUGUGCUGUAGAAGACAGGGACAGUCUGUCCCAGGGGUCAGCAAACUCUUGACCACUGUGUUUUUGUACAGACAGCAGCUGAAUGGUUCUGAAAAUUUUAAAAUGGUUGGGAGAAAAAAAGUGAAGGAAGAAAAUUUCAUGCUAUGUAAUGUUACAUGAAAUUCAAAUUUCAGUCUCCAUAAACAAAGCCUUAUGGGCACCCAGCCACAUACUGUCUAAGGCUGCUUUCACCAUACAAUCGCAGAGUUCAGUGGUCCCCACAGAGACACAUGGCCCGCAAACCUGAAAAUAUUUGCUAGCUGGCCCUGCACAGAAAAGCGUGCUGACUCCCCAUCUGUAGGACAAAAUCCGAAAGCCUCUGGAGGGCGCACAGGGCCCUCCUGGGCCCGGACCCUCCACCUUUACAACCUCACUGCCUGGGUGCAGUGCUUCAGUUCACACUCUUCUCAACUCUUCCUGUGAACACAGGGAUCGAUGCUUGGAGCUGGUAGGCUGCUCUCCAGCCAGUCAGACCACCACAGUUCCCACUAGUUUGGGGAUAUUCUUCUAAGAGGCGGCUCGGUUACUCCAAAACCAUUUAUGCCAGCAAUACCUGUUUUAAUCAUGUUAUUUAGAUAAAAUUUUACAGAAGAUAAUGGAUGGAAAGAGAAAGAAUAUGAUUAUUUUCAUGAAACCUAAGUUAAAUGUUUAAGGAAAACAAAGUGAGUGGCUAAAAAUAAUCAAUCAAAAAAUAAAAGCAAAAACAUCAAUCACCUAAAGUUGCUUAGGUGACAGAGAGGCAACGGAAAAAGACUGAGAAGGAAAAAUAUAAUUUAUCAGUACCCAGAUGGUUAGCGAUCAGAUUUUACCGAAAUUCUUUUUAAGUUCUUACUGGAUUUUAGAGAAUCUGAAACUGAAAACCAUUGAUAAUGAGUUCUGGGUGUGUCCCUCUAUCUAAAGAUUGCAAAAUACAUGAAAAAGCAUAUUUUUAAAACAUUUAACCUUUUUAACUAACUCAUUCAGUGAAGUGAGCAACCAUGAAUCUCAGUCCUGUCCAGUAGACGGUUUUCACCAUCAUAUGCUGACCCCCACACUCCCUGUUGUUUCACAGACAGCCGUUUCCAGCAGGGUGGAUUUUAUCCCCCUUGUGAAGAUGAUGAAGCUUGACCAGGUCUCAGAGCUCAUACGAGGUAUGUUCAACCCCAGGCAGCCCGUCUCUGUGACAGCAUCCGGAUCCCUCUGUCAUUCCAACUCCAGAGAAGCCAGAAGUAAAAAAUAUUUACAAUUACAAAAAUUGUAAAUAUUUUUGCUAUUUAACACUUCACCAUGGGCUACGCAAGAAAAAAAUUCAUUUAAACUUGGAAGCUUAAAAAUAAAAAUUCAUAUUAUUGAGAAUUAACACUCUCAGGAAAGCGACUGAUCCAAAGUUCCAUUCCGUGUCCUAAACAUCAGUGAAAUUGUGACAUCUGAAUACUCAAACAAGCGAACGGCUCAAACAAGUGAUUUGGACAAACAGGGCCUGAGGCAUCCACUCAAAUGAUGCUUCUGAAGUUUUCAUCCCAAAGCCUGCACUUUAGGAGUCUCCAUAUGUCUGAACUAAAGCCCAAGGCAAGCCGGUGGGCUGGGACCCCAACAGGGAUCUCAGGACCGCCACUGCAUGCAGUUAGAGGAAGACAUCACACAACUUGAUCUGGCGGCUGGUUCAGUCAUCUCUCCCCUUCUCUGUGUCUGAACACUCAUCUGUGGAACACAGCAGCAAACAACACCGCAAACAACAGUAUUUUUUACUCGAAAUAAAAGUCAAAUCACACACAAUUGUAAAGCAACGUCAGAACACAAAGCUAUACAUGUUGUGAACUUUGAACGUGCAUUCUAGCUUGUCACAAAAGUAUUUGGGGCAAUACAAACAAGUACCACCAUUUAAAUACCCCAUUUACAAAAAAAAACCCCAUAUCUGUAGUGACAUUCCUGAGAAACUAUCCUAGAGAACAGGGAGCCAGGUACUCAGGCUGACUGGCCUUCUGACGCUGGCUUCUGCUUUUAGUUGAGGAAUUAGCCUCCACAGGCAGCUCUUGCCUCCCAAGGCACUGGGUGGCUACAUUCAUGGCAUAUUUAUAGUGGCCUGAAUUAUCUGAUAUUUAAAGUCAAGAUCUAAAAAUGAAUUAUAAGUUUUGCCAAAGAGAUAAACUAAUUUUUACCUACUUGAAAAUAGUUAACUUGACUAAAUAUUUUAAUAAUCAAAUACAAUUCCAAAAAUACUUAAACACUUCAUUAGUUUUAGAAUUCAAACACCUCAUAAAACUUAUUUUAGGUGUUUAUAUUUAAAAGUGUCACUGACCCACCCUGGUUCACGGACUCAGUACUCUCUUCUCCGGUGAUGCCAACUCCAGCUAUAGCAAUUCGACCUCCGUCAUCCAAGUGCAAUCUUCCUCAGUCGUUGGUUCUUGACCCUCUUCUCUUCCGAUCCCUCACCUGUACUCUUCCCCUUGAUUCAUGAUAUCUCAGCUUCUAAUACUGCCUCCUUCACAAUUUCUCCCAGUCUGUGCCUCAGGCCAGGGCAUCUCCUUUUCCCCUGUUUAGGGCCCCCAUCACCAGUUGUGCACCUUCUCGGGCUGCUGCACACCUGCCCACACACACACACCAGGACCUCAGACUCACACCUUAUUUCAACAUCUUCCUUCCCAAACACACUUCUCUUACCAUAGUAUCAUCACCAUCCUAUCUCCCAGGCAAAGAGUAACACUCUUUUUCAACUGUUCCUUGUUGUCCCCACAUCCUGCAGUUGGCCAUGGCCCUUCGACUACACUUUUGAAAGAACUUUCAGUAUGUUCCUCUUUGUCCAUGGUCACGGCUGCCACUCUAACAUCAGGUUUUCAAGGGACUUCUGAGAUACUUUUAUUAGAAAGAAUUACUCUCUAACACAAAUAAUUUGACUUGAUUUUCAGGUCUGCAUUUUUAUAUAGGCUGGUUUUGCCCGAAAUAGGAAACACCAAUAUUCACAUUAAAGUAAAAAUAAUCUGGCUGCGUAAUUAAACUCUUUACUGCCUGAACCUCCAGCUUCUUGAGUGACAGAGCAGUGAGAAGUGAUGCAGGCAAGAAUGAAGAGAAGGGAAAAGGAUCCAGGACAGGUGGAGAGAGGAAGCACGUGGGACAACAAAAUGUUUAUUCCACUCCAGAUGCAUGAGAGCACCAGGGAGACACCACAGUGGAACAAUGCGAGAAGGUCCAGGUUUGCCCAAGAUCCGGGACUGCCCUAGCUGUAGGACAAGGCUUGUGGGACAUUGGGAAGAUGCCAGAACAAAGCUAAACUUGUAUCCAGAUCUUGAACACAAAUUCCCUUGAACCUACUAUUUGUUUCUCUCUCUACCGGUAACACCAGGUGAAACUGAAGAAAGUUCUCAGGGUCCAGGUUCAGAAUUCCCUUUUCACAAUGAGAAUUUUUUUUAGUUUGUUUGGGAAUCCCCGUGUCCACAGGGCCACAUCCAACAGGCCAGGCUGCUCCAGAGUUCUGGUCCCAGUGGCACCAUGCCCACUAGCCAUCCCACUUUCCAGAGCAGAGCUGUGGGGAGGGUGGGCAGGGCAGCGAGGCUCCACCAGGGAAAUGAGAUGUGCCUUUAUGCAAGGAAAGGCCUAGAAAAAAACAGAAAGUGUCCCCCAAAUCCAGGAGUAGCUUACCAAAAAAGGCCUGGGAGAUGCCACGGCGGGGAAGAGAUGUCCUCAGCUAUCAGUUACCCAUUAGAGUUACUCGGGAAACUUAUAAAAGAUCUGGGGGCCCAGGCUGCCAGGACCAAGGCCCUGGGAGAAGGAGGUCCCUCACCAGCCACGUGCUCCUCCACCAGCUGGGAGCUCUGUGACUCCCUCAGGCAUCACCACCUGGCCAGGACAAAGGUAAAAACAAUCAUCCAGGAGGUCAGAAAUUCCUUCUAGCUGUUACCUCAUAGCGAGAAAUAAAAAGCAACCAUCUCCACUUGUUCUGAGGAGAGUGUUUUUGAAGCCUAACUACAUUUUGUAGCUCCAGGUCUCCCCACUUCUAUUUUCUUUUUCCUCUAAUCUGCCCAGCUAGGGCUUUGUGGGUUUCUGUUUCAAUAAAGAAGGCUUUAUCAUCUUAUUGACUCUUCAACAGCAGUCAGCCCUGUUCUUUUUCCUAGGAAACACCCCUUGGUUUCCACAAAUAAAAGCUACUGCGAUAAACACUGGGAGGAGUGUUGUUUGAAGAAACAAAUAUCCAGCAACAUCACAAAGCUCAUAAAUGAAGAUGUGCGCUUCCUUUUGGUUACAAUAAAAUAGGAAUUCUAAGGAAUCUGUUUUAAUUAACAUACACAGAUGUGGGCUGGACAGCCAGCACCCAUGAACAAUACAUUUCGAACCUGUGAUAAGAUGUUCCUUUUCUCAUUCAAAGUCAUUGUUACAUGGAGGCUGGAGUCUCCAUUGGCAGAAAAAAGCAGAAUUGCUCAUUUGUCCUGCUGCAGUUGCCUGGGAGUCCGGGACCCUGGGGUCCUUCUGGGAAAGGGGCACAGGUGGGAGGCACCCACAUGUAGUGACUCACGCAGGUGGCCACAGGUGGGAGGCCUGCCUUUGUCCCUCCAGUUCUAUUUCCCAGUGCCUUUUGUGAAGCUGGAGGGAAGGGGUGGGCUGGACUCUGGUGUUGACCAGCCCCUGAGGUGACUGGGCCACAGGGGAGGGGUUCCCAAGCCCUGGAAAGAGCCUGGCUUUCAGCAUACAAGCGAGAGGGGGUCCUGGGAGGCUUAUAAUAAAGAGUAACCCUGGCUGGAUAAGAGUUGUAAAGUGGAACAGAUGACACUGUAGACCAUGAGUGGCUAAUGCAACACCAAAGUCACGGACACCCAUCUAGGAGUGCUGACCAUGCUGAGAUGGUGAGGGCCUGACAGAGAUGAUACCACAAGCCUCCUGUCUAGCUCCAGUGAGGCCCCAUUAUCAACCUCUUCAAGGGCUGCAGCCAGGAGGCUGGACCAUGGGCCAAACUAAGGCAGGAAACCCUACUGCCCAGGGCAAGGCCUUCUCUGCUGCCAUGACAGCCAAAGAUGUCCUGGGAUCCAAGCAAAUGUCAGGUUGAGUCAAAAACUGCUACAUCUGUGCUUGCAAAGCUCUCGACAAGUCCUGUGGCCCAAGAACUGCCCAUGCCUCUCCCCUACAGCUUGCAAGCUGUGGCUACACCUGAAGACAGUAGCAGCUAGGCCUCCACACCAUAGUGGCCAGGUUCACUGUUGGCAGACAGGCAGCGUAUAGACCCAGGCGGCCCACCCCAGCCAUCCUUAGCCCUGAUUUCCCUGGAGAAUGUCACUAGUGAAACCCUCACACGGGGAGAUGAUUAAACCUACUGCCCCCUAAGGAUGCUGAUGAGGGAAGCGAGCCAGUAACUGGGCUUAUAAGGAUGCACCUCUGGCCUGAAAUUACAUGGAGGCUUCUUCUAUCUUAAAACUUCACGGAAAUAAAUGGGCAAACUGUACACUAUAAGAAUUAUAUCUCCAAAAAAGCUAUUAUUUUUUUAAAUAUGGAAAUAGAAUGUUUAUUUCAAUGUAAGUUGCUCUACCUACUAAAACUCUUAAGUCCCAAGGUAAACUUCUAAAAUCUCUUGAACCUUCAUUGAUGGAUACAACCUUCCUUGUUUCAGUGGAAAAUAAAAUUUUCUUUACAAGAGACACUUUCCUUCCUUUCCUCAUUUACCUUUUCUUGAGAAAGUAUUGAUUUAUAUGGCCAAAGAGGUGGUGGGUUAUACACGGGAGAUUAAACUGAUAAGUAAAUAUAUUGAGGAUACUGGGUGCCAGGUUCUCGGUGUCAGAGAAUGGAGUCACCGAUAUGGAGAAUGGGAAGGCUGGGAUGGGGCAGGGAUGCUGGACUGGGAGGC